CCUUCCCCGGGGAAGAGAGCGAGAACAUCUGCUUCGCUGCAGCCUGCAGGGUUUUUUCUCAGUGCCGAUAAACCCUCUUCGCCAAAAUCCAUAGCACAAUCUUCCAUAGCUCAAAGCUUCAAGCUUUUCAAGGUAAGGCCUAAGACCUGAUGUUGAAGAUGAGAUGUUUCAAGUGAUCGGAUCUAGCAAAAUAAAGAUGAGUUAUCAUAUGCAAAUGGUGGCUCAAGUUACCGAACUGUUGGCUCUCUGGCUACUGGUGUGAUGGUUACCCGAAGAAAAAUGAAAGAUAUAUAUCGGUGACCAGGGUUCCUGAUGCAAGUUUUGAAGCUUGGCUUUCUGUUUUUGACAGACUGAAAUCUCAGGUAAAUGAGAUUUUUCAUGAUCUAUUAUCCUCUUUGGAGGGUGUUAAGAAUCGCACAUUGAAAAAAAAAAAAAGAGAAUAUAUGGGUUUAUAAGGCCAUGGGUUAGACUGGCUAAUUGUUUGAAUUCAAUCUUUUAGUGUGAUUUGACCCAUGUGCAUUAUAGCCUAGUUGAGUGACAUUGGCUUAAUCUUAGAUUAUAACAGAGGGAAACACUGAUCCAAUUGAUCUGCCCACCGUAUCCCCUCUUAGAUAUUCAGGUCAGGGCAUAUGAGAGGUGGUUCUCGCAACCUCUCUACCCCUUCAUCACACCGUUUUAUCUAUAGUUUUCAAAUCUGAAAAUCGUUUUAAUAUUGGACAUGAAUUGUUGCGUGUCUGGGGUAUGAUAUGCGUAUAUAUGACAAGCGAUUUAGGCCAUUCAUUAAUGUUUGACUUCUGUGAUUUCCUGCUUGUGGAUUGAAACAGCUCAUUAGUCAUUACUGUGUUGACAUUCUGUAUUGUGAUUAGAAUUGUAUUCUUGAUAGCAACAUUUUUCUCAUCUGAUUUCAACAACAUAAUUGCAAACAACCAGUGGAGGCAGGAAUAGUUUGAAAAGAAUGAUUUAAAAAAGAGAAAAUUACUAACUAUAUUAGUUUCACCAAUUCCGUCUUCGACUUUCAAUUUCGUCGAAUAAAGUUCUAGGUUAUCAAACUAGUACCUAUUUUAGUCCUUCGGAGUUGCUGUUUUGUCUAAAAUUUUACCAAUCUUCAGAUUGUUUAGCAACAUAUAUAAAACUAAUAAAUGUACUGUCUAAUUAUCAUACUAAACUUUUAGUCGGGACAGAAAAUAUUCUUCAAUUUGUAUAAGAAUCAACCCCAUAAAAAAAGGUCAUGAGAGAAGUAAUUGACUUAUAUGCAUACAUGAUGGGUGUGUUGAGCAUAAUAUAUAUAAAUAAUGAUAAAUGUGCAAUCUAAUCCUUCAAUACAUAUGACUUAAAUAGGUGCUAAUUUGAUUGUUAAAGAUAUUAUUAAGAGUGUAUUUGGAAACCAGGAAAAAACGAUGGUUUCUUGCGGAAACCAGAGCACCAGAGAAUUGCUCUUGUUUUCGGCGAAAACCAGUCUGCCAGAAACGAGAGCAGGACGUAAUUUUGGCAGAAGCCUUCCUUGUCGAUGUAGUCUUGAUCUGGAAAAUGACUUCCGCCAAAUUGGCGGAAGUCAUUUUCCCCCAAAACACCACUAUUUUCCUCAAUAAAUGAAAAAUGAUUUUCGUUGACUUGAUUUUCCAGGUACAUCCAAACACUGGAAACUCGGAAAAUGAUUUCUUCCAAACACACUCUAAAUGAAAUUGAAAGUUGAGGAUGAAAAUGACGGAAUCUCGAGUGUUUUGUUAGUUUACUAAUUUAAAAAUAAUAAUAAUGGGAUGGUUGAAGAUUUGCAUAAUAUGCUGCUUUAUUCUUUAGGGAUUAGGGUUGACUUUUGAUGUUGUUGGUGCCAAAUCUAUACUAAUUUGGGAUAAAAAAGAAUUUGGUUUUGACACUCAUAUCAAACGACAAAGACAUUGAGGUCCCACUCCCACCAUUUUCUUUCUCAACUUGCUUCCUCUUCCCACCUAUAAAUAUGCUGCUAAAAUUCACUUCUCAAUCAUAUCCAACCAAUCAAAAACUUCAUCUCCAUCAACUUCUUCUUGUAUUGCAAAAUUUCUUAAUUAGGCAAUGGUUGUUGGUCUCCCUCAAGGGCUUCUCUUCUCCUAGGUAUUCUUCAUUCAUUGUGCCACUAACAUGCAUUUUGAGUGAAGUUAGGGUGGCAUAGGAGCCACUUGAGGGGGACCCAACAAACGAUGCCUUGCAUACGGUGGUCUAAUCCGACUAAUCGCUCCAAUUCACAAUAUUUACAGAUCAAAUCCGAGUUGCGGUUUGUUUCUCAAUAUUGGCAUGGCCGAUCAAAUUUAGCUUAGCAGUCUAGGUUUAGUAGUUCAAGCCUAUUAGCAUGCUUGUUUAUAUUGACUUUGCAUUGACUUUGCAUGAAAGUAUAAAAUUAUACUUAAAAGACACUUUUUUGCACCAUCAUCAUUAUCUGUCUAAAGUUUUCAUUGCCAACUACAAAAUAUAACACCACACAAUUUUACUUUUAUCUACAUUUACCCUCCUCCAUGAUACCAUUCCCUCCAAAGACAAUCAUGCCCCCUAGACAAACCCAACUCGUAGUGAAAUGCUUGGUACUGCAUUCUCCAAGACUAUUUACAUUCAUUUAUCACGUUAAUACUCAAAUGGAAUUUUAUAUUGAAUCUUUGAUAUCAUGCAUUACGUGUUGCGCAAAGUAAAUGAUCUUGUACAUGACGCAAAUAGCCUUUGAUGAAAUCUUUGUAGAAAUUAGGGCAUGAAUUGAAUUCAGACACAAUUUACUUUGGUAGGGAAAAUUGCAAUUUUGUUCUUGAAUGAUUAAAUAAUUGAUAUUUUCGUCCUUAGUUCUUGCAUGUACUCCUAUUUCGUCCUUAAGCUUUUAUCUAGAUUACUCUUUCCGUCCCUCAUUCUUUUGCUAACUAAUAACUAUUAUUUCCAUCUCUAAUUAUUGUGCUAAAUGUUUAACAAUUAUCCAAUAAUUAUUAAUUAGGGACGAAAAAAGUAAACAAUUACCCAAGAACUAGGGAUAAAAAAUAUAUAUAUAACCUUGAAAAAAACUUGAUAGCGUAAAUGGAGCAUGUCCGAAAAAAAUAAACAAUUACCCAAGUAUGAUAAGUGUUUUAUCCCACUCAUCAAUUAUUUGUCUAUUCUUAAUCGUGCAACAUGUCCGAAGACGAUAGCCAAAAUCUCUCUAUUCGUGAUUACGGUGAUCAGGAUGACGAGGAGUUCAGUGUGUCUAGAGGGUCUUCACUGGAGCGAUCCGAGGAAGCAUUUGUGGUUCAAGCCCGACUGGCUAGUGGGAGGUCAGUUGGGGCCCACCCGACUGUUCCCAUUCAGUUAAGAUCCAUCGGCCAUAAGGGGUCAAAACACUUAUCGUACCGCUCGUAUUAACAGGUCUCGUGAUAGGUAAAGAUGUUCUCGGAUCACCCUUGAAAUCACCUCAACAAAGCACCACCCGGCCGGUCCGCCUCAAACCGACAAGAACUCGACACGUCAAGCCACUUGCAUAUGGAAGCAUUAAAUGCAUGGCCGACUUACUUAAUAUAAAUAGGAGGGCUCUCCCCCUCACUUGUAAUAUUUAGUACUCCGUAACAUCACACCACUUGUGAUUUACUCUACAUUGCAAUCUACUUCGCUUGUAAUCGCUCACUACUUGUAAUA